GGCCGGACAACUCAUGGCGGCGGCGGCGGCAGCUGCUUGGGCGCGGUGCGGUGGUGACUGAGCUACGAGCCUGGCGGCGGGUGUGCGCCGAGCCCCGGCCCGGCCCGGCCCCCGCGUGCCUCCCAGGCUCCGCACCCCUGAUGCUGCGCGGGUGCUGAGCCCGCUUCGGCCGGGACGAUGGUGAAGUAUUUCCUGGGCCAGAGCGUGCUCCGGAGUUCCUGGGACCAAGUGUUCGCCGCCUUCUGGCAGCGGUACCCGAAUCCCUAUAGCAAACAUGUCUUGACGGAAGACAUAGUACACCGGGAGGUGACCCCUGACCAGAAACUGCUGUCCCGGCGACUCCUGACCAAGACCAACAGGAUGCCACGCUGGGCCGAGCGACUAUUUCCUGCCAAUGUUGCUCACUCGGUGUACAUCCUGGAGGACUCUAUUGUGGACCCACAGAAUCAGACCAUGACUACCUUCACCUGGAACAUCAACCACGCCCGGCUGAUGGUGGUGGAGGAACGAUGUGUUUACUGUGUGAACUCUGACAACAGUGGCUGGACUGAAAUCCGCCGGGAAGCCUGGGUCUCCUCUAGCUUAUUUGGUGUCUCCAGAGCUGUCCAGGUGAGCAGUGUUGUUGGGGCUGCUGGGGCUCUGGGACCCAGUGCUUUCGGUGUUGGGGCUGGGCUGGGGUCAGUGGGCAACUCAGUAUCCUUCCCAUUCUCAUCUCAUGCCAGGAAUUUGGUCUUGCCCGGUUCAAAAGCAACGUGACCAAGACUAUGAAGGG
rnacentral:sRNA from 1 species